rnacentral:sRNA from 1 species
CCGCAAAGUGAGCACGAAAGACCCACUCAAUUCAU